ACGCUGGCGGCAGGCCUAACACAUGCAAGUCGAGCGGAAACGACACUAUCAAUCCUUCGGAUGCGUUAAUGGGCGUCGAGCGGCGGACGGGUGAGUAAUGCCUAGGAAAUUGCCUUGAUGUGGGGGAUAACCAUUGGAAACGAUGGCUAAUACCGCAUAAUGCCUACGGGCCAAAGAGGGGGAUCUUCGGACCUCUCGCGUCAAGAUAUGCCUAGGUGGGAUUAGCUAGUUGGUGAGGUAAUGGCUCACCAAGGCGACGAUCCCUAGCUGGUCUGAGAGGAUGAUCAGCCACACUGGAACUGAGACACGGUCCAGACUCCUACGGGAGGCAGCAGUGGGGAAUAUUGCACAAUGGGCGAAAGCCUGAUGCAGCCAUGCCGCGUGUAUGAAGAAGGCCUUCGGGUUGUAAAGUACUUUCAGUUGUGAGGAAGGGUGUGUAGUUAAUAGCUGCACAUCUUGACGUUAGCAACAGAAGAAGCACCGGCUAACUCCGUGCCAGCAGCCGCGGUAAUACGGAGGGUGCGAGCGUUAAUCGGAAUUACUGGGCGUAAAGCGCAUGCAGGUGGUUCAUUAAGUCAGAUGUGAAAGCCCGGGGCUCAACCUCGGAACUGCAUUUGAAACUGGUGAACUAGAGUGCUGUAGAGGGGGGUAGAAUUUCAGGUGUAGCGGUGAAAUGCGUAGAGAUCUGAAGGAAUACCAGUGGCGAAGGCGGCCCCCUGGACA
rnacentral:rRNA from 1 species